UACGGAGGGUGCAAGCGUUGUCCGGAAUUAUUGGGCGUAAAGGGCUUGUAGGCGGUUUGUCGCGUCUGCUGUGAAAUUUCGGGGCUCAACCCCGAACUUGCAGUGGGUACGGGCAGACUAGAGUGUGGUAGGGGAGACUGGAAUUCCUGGUGUAGCGGUGAAAUGCGCAGAUAUCAGGAGGAACACCGAUGGCGAAGGCAGGUCUCUGGGCCAUAACUGACGCUGAGAAGCGAAAGCAUGGGGAGCGAACAGG
rnacentral:rRNA from 1 species